rnacentral:misc_RNA from 1 species
AAAUAAUUACCCACAGGACGUGGGCUAAGGUCUAGUUUUUGAAAGACGACUCUAUUUCUGAUGAAAAAUAAUCCCUUUUAACAAAUCACCAUUCCUCUUACGAACCCUAAAUCCUUCAAUUUCAGCCACUGCGCCACUCUGAAACCACCACCGCCCACCACCGCCAUGGCCGCUCACCAUUUCUGUUCCCCAUCACUGUCGAAGUCAUUUCUUUUGCCAAUUUGAAUCCAUCGUGUCGCUUUCGCUCACCAUUGCCGUUCUCCCUAAUUGUCGUCUUCGCUAUUGUUCACCACUUCGAAGACAUCUCCGUGGCUGUUGUAAUUGAACUGAAGGAGACAAGGAGCCUUUCCUACAUCGCCAGUGAUGGGGAACAGAAAUGGUGAGCGGUUCAGCAAACAGCAGACUCAAAAUUCAAUGAGUAUGGGCUUGGCAACACCGAAACCAGCUUAUCUAGUUGUGAUAAGCAAUUUCCUGUUGCAGUAAAGAAGACAGCAUUGAGAGAUGUGCAGAAUGAUAAUAGAAUUCCCAAUUCUAUUGGGAAUUCUCCAAUACCCAUGGAUAGAGGACAAACUAUGGAUGCAGUUAAAGUUUCUGGCAUCAAGAGACCCUCGCCUAAAAGCCCAGUGAGCCCUCCACAUCACCAAUCUCCAAGUAGUAAUGCUGCAAAUGCUCAUCUUGUCUAUGUUCGUAGAAAAUCUGAAGCAGAAACCGGCAAGAGUAGUAUUUCUGAUGGCAGAAGCAUUAAUGCUGAUUGCACAAAUUCAAGGCAACUUGACCUUGCAGAGGAGAUCGUGCAACCAAAACCACAUAUAAAGGAGCCAAAGGUUUCUGGUUUUUCAGCAUUUGCACCUAUGCCCGUGGAUUCCUUGACAAAUUCCUCUGGAAAAUCUUCAGUUCCUCUUCCUGUUGGCAUUCCUGUUGGCAGCCCUAACAUGAGGAACUGAAGAUUUUCCAGAGGAAUUU